ACGCCGCUCUCACCCUUCUACUCGACUCCUCACCCGAAUCGUUGUUCAUUUGUAUUGCUUGCCUCAAAUGGACAACGAUUUGGGUGAGGAGUUGAGCAGAAUUAUCUCCAGUGAGAUA
rnacentral:precursor_RNA from 9 species